rnacentral:rRNA from 1 species
UACGUAGGUGGCAAGCGUUGUCCGGAUUUACUGGGCGUAAAGAGCGCGCAGGCGGUCGUCCAAGUCGCGUGUGAAAGCCCCCGGCUCAACUGGGGAGGGUCACGCGAUACUGGUCGACUCGAAGGCAGGAGAGGGUAGUGGAAUUCCCGGUGUAGUGGUGAAAUGCGUAGAUAUCUGGAGGAAUACCGGUGGCGAAGGCGGCAUCCUGGACCGGCAUUGACGCUGAGGAGCGAAAGCCAGGGGAGCAAACGGG